UACGUAGGGGGCGAGCGUUGUCCGGAAUUACUGGGCGUAAAGCGCACGUAGGCGGAUAUUUAAGUCAGGGGUGAAAUCCCAGAGCUCAACUCUGGAACUGCCUUUGAUACUGGGUAUCUUGAGUAUGGGAAGAGGUGAGUGGAAUUCCGAGUGUAGAGGUGAAAUUCGUAGAUAUUCGGAGGAACACCAGUGGCAAAGGCGGCUCACUGGUCCAUUACUGACGCUGAG
rnacentral:rRNA from 1 species